AGAGUUUGAUCAUGGCUCAGAUUGAACGCUGGCGGCAGGCCUAACACAUGCAAGUCGAACGGUAACAGGAAGCAGCUUGCUGCUUUGCUGACGAGUGGCG
rnacentral:rRNA from 1 species